rnacentral:rRNA from 1 species
UACGAAGGGUGCAAGCGUUACUCGGAAUUACUGGGCGUAAAGCGUGCGUAGGUGGUUUGUUAAGUCUGAUGUGAAAGCCCUGGGCUCAACCUGGGAAUUGCAUUGGAUACUGGCAGGCUAGAGUGCGGUAGAGGAUGGCGGAAUUCCCGGUGUAGCAGUGAAAUGCGUAGAGAUCGGGAGGAACAUCUGUGGCGAAGGCGACUGCCUGGACCAGCACUGACACUGAGGCACGAAAGCGUGGGGAGCAAACAGG